rnacentral:rRNA from 1 species
AUUGAACGCUGGCGGCAUGCCUUACACAUGCAAGUCGAACGGCAGCACGGGUGCUUGCACCUGGUGGCGAGUGGCGAACGGGUGAGUAAUACAUCGGAACGUACCUUAUCGUGGGGGAUAACGCAGCGAAAGUUGCGCUAAUACCGCAUACGCCCUGAGGGGGAAAGCGGGGGACCGUAAGGCCUCGCGCGAUUAGAGCGGCCGAUGUCUGAUUAGCUUGUUGGUGAGGUAAAGGCUCACCAAGGCGAUGAUCAGUAGCUGGUCUGAGAGGUCGAUCAGCCACACUGGGACUGAGACACGGCCCAGACUCCUACGGGAGGCAGCAGUGGGGAAUUUUGGACAAUGGGGGCAACCCUGAUCCAGCAAUGCCGCGUGAGUGAAGAAGGCCUUCGGGUUGUAAAGCUCUUUUGUCAGGGAAGAAACAGCAGCUCUAACACAGUCUGCGAAUGACGGUACCUGAAGAAUAAGCACCGGCUAACUACGUGCCAGCAGCCGCAGUAAAAC